ensembl:lncRNA
AAAUAUUUUUCACAGAACUGCAACUUGAAAUACUGUUAUUUUAUUAUCUGAAGCUCCGCCUGCUUAGCAAUACAGCUGAGUUGGAUAGAUUUUUUAAGAGACACCGUUAUAAAGAGGGACACAACUCACUCGGAGUAUUUCAGUCACGGUCUGCAACGUAUAUAAGCUUCUGAAAAUAAUUUUAAAUAAAUUUGUUGAGUUUGACAUGAAGCCUGUCUGCAAAAAGUGCUAUGAGAAGUUUCCUCUAGAGCUGAAGAAGAGACUGAAGAAAUUAGCUGAAACCGUGGGAAGGAAGUGAAGACUUGGUCUGCUCUCCCCUUUCCUUAUGAAAAUGAAAAAUGACAAAUGAAAAUUUCCCUUAUGAAAAACUCAAUCUGUCACUUGGGAGGGACUCUGAGGCUGUAAUCAGACUACAGAUUACGAUGCAGGCCUUUCGUCUUGACAUUCUCCAUUCUCUCUGUGAGUACAUGUGUAUGGAUUUGUUGAUAAACAGGCCACGCUUCUGUCAACUCACCUGAAAGGUUUCUGGCCCUGCUAAUGCACCGAUACAAGUGGGCCAUUGCACGCAGUAAUCCCUGAGGAAGUUUAGAUUGAGAAAAUGUGCUUGUGAGUACCUGCAAAUACACACUGUGCAAAUGUGCCCAACGUUAGGGGCGUGUGGUGUCAUUUGCAUUAAUGAACAGAUCAGUGUGCAAAUUAAGCAGGCGUGCAAAAUUUCCCGUGGCCUGGGCAAGAAACCAAACAUACCUCAUUUCCCAGAAAAAAUAAUGCUUAGAUUUCAGGUCAGGUAGUCCCGUUGAGGAGCCUUGUUUAAGGUGGUUUGAAAAGUCAAUACAGUCACUGUAGAAAUGACCUACUUCUGAUAGUUUGUACUUACACGCUGAAUUUUUGUACAUCAGACUUAGCAUGAAAUGUCUGUAUGAAGUCUAAUUCCCGCUGCAAGAAACGAGCAUACUCAGAUCUACUUGAAUUUUGCCAUAUUCCAUUCAGAAUAACACAUUAACUUUAUGUAAGCUUUGCAUUUUAUUUACUUUUUGUGCCUUAUUCUGCUGGACCAUAUGUAACAGUGUUCCACUAAAUAUAUAUAUAUAUAUAUAUAUAUGUAUGUAUAGUUUUAUUGUUAUUUCUUAUUUUUGUGCAGAAACUAUGCACGAAGUAUUUUGAAAAGAUAACAAAAUCUGCCUUAACUAUGCAGGAUGCAAGAAGGAUUUUCUUUCGAGCGCGAAUGCCUGAGGUUAAAGUUUAGCUUCUAGGCUUCCCUGACUUCUGGAACAGCAGUGAAAAUGCGUAUUUGAGUUAACUGGCAACGUUACUUUUGCACUGCGAGUGUAAAUGUGUGAGGUUUGAUCCUCCCAGGAUCUAUUUCUUCAGCCAUCUUCAAGAACUGUGCUCACAAAUGGUCAGAAUUCACUGUAGUAUGCUUGGGAUCGUUGUGUCCUAUUGACGUCUGUCCAUGAAAAUUUGUUUUUCCCUUUUCUGUCAGAAAUACCGCUACUUAGGAAUUCUUGAUGGUACUGUGUUACCAAGCGUGCAAACCUUUUUUUUUUUUCCCAUAUUAGAGACACAGUUUUUAUGUAAUUACAUCGUAGCAAGCAAAAAACAGCUUUCCAGUGCCAUUAAUAAAGGCUACGUUAUUAAAUCCUGCUUCACCUCUCUUACGCGACCGCUUGAGAUGGGUGGCAAAGCAUCUCGGCAGCCUUCCUUCGCUCUGCUUCUACCUGUGGCUGUAUGUAAAACUCGUUUACUGUCCUGACUUAGGACAGGCAUAUGUCUCCUCUAAGCAUGCACUUUAGAUUUUAGGUUUAAAAAAUAAAUUGUCGUUUGUUUGAUAACCAACAGCUUGGUUCUUCUGGACACGUUUGGAUUGGCACUGUGCUACGGUGCAGUAGCAGCAAGGCAGCGGUUCCUGUGGCAUUAACACAGGUGUGCGUUUCGGACCCCACAGAUAGCACCGAGGGUG